CGGCGGACGGGUGAGUAACGCGUGGGCAACCUGCCUUACACAGGGGGAUAACAGUUAGAAAUGACUGCUAAUACCGCAUAAGACCCCAGAACCGCAUGGUUCUGAGGUAAAAACUCCGGUGGUGUAAGAUGGGCCCGCGUCUGAUUAGGUAGUUGGUGAGGUAACGGCUCACCAAGCCGACGAUCAGUAGCCGACCUGAGAGGGUGACCGGCCACAUUGGGACUGAGACACGGCCCAGACUCCUACGGGAGGCAGCAG
rnacentral:rRNA from 1 species